rnacentral:lncRNA from 1 species
GAGAUUCCAUGGUAAACAUGGCACACAUGGUCCUUCCCCCACAAUGAGGUUUACAGCCAAGUUGGAGAGAAAAGUGGUUUUGAACUGGAUUAGAGAUGUCAAUCUUGUUUUCAGAAGCCUUGAGGGCUAUCAGUUGAGAACUACAGCCCUGGAAGCGCCCAUCAGAGAGGUUCUGUCAGACGGCUCUGACACAGUAUUCCAGCUCACAGCUUACACAAAGGUCAAAGAAGAAACCACAUGGGAACCAGAAAAUUAUUUGAGAUGAAAAAAAAUGGAAGCAUGACAUGCCAAAGUUAUCAUACGCAGCAAGAGUGCUCAUAGGGAAAAUUAUACCUGUAAGUUUCUACAUUUUAAAAGGAGAAAGAAUAGCCGGGCAUGGCA